rnacentral:rRNA from 1 species
AUUGAACGCUGGCGGCAGGCUUAACACAUGCAAGUCGAGCGAGCGGCGGACGGGUGAGUAAUGUCUGGGCACCUGCCUGAUGGAGGGGGAUAACUACUGGAAACGGUAGCUAAUACCGCAUACCAUCAGAUGUGCCGAGAUGGGAUUAGCUAGUAGGUGGGGUAAUGGCUCACCUAGGCGACGAUCCCUAACUGGUCUGAGAGGAUGACCAGUCACACUGGAACGGAGACACGGUCCAGAUUCCUACGGGAGGCAGCAGUGGGGAAUAUUGCACAAUGGGCGAAAGCCUGAUGCAGCCAUGCCGCGUGUGUGAAGAAGGCCUUCGGGUUGUAAAGCACUUUCAGCGAGGAGGCGUUACUCGCAGAAGAAGCACCGGCUAACUCCGUGCCAGCAGCCGCGGUAAUUC